AUACUGUAUGCUCAAACCGGUCUUAUUCACAGCUUAAUUUGCUCAUUGUAAAAGUAGACGGACUCUUGAAAAACACACCGUGUGUAUGGUUCUUGAU